rnacentral:rRNA from 1 species
AAAAAAGGUAAGCUACUAAGAGCGAAUGGUGGAUGCCUUGACUGGUAAAGGCGAUGAAGGACGUACUAGACUGCGAUAAGCUACGGGGAGCUGUCAAGAAGCUUUGAUCCGUAGAUUUCCGAAUGGGGCAACCCAAUGUAUAGAGAUAUGCAUUACCUAUAUAGGAGCGAACGAGGGGAAUUGAAACAUCUUAGUACCCUCAGGAAAAGAAAUCAAUAGAGAUUGCGUCAGUAGCGGCGAGCGAAAGCGCAAGAGGGCAAACCCAGUGCUUGCACUGGGGGUUG